rnacentral:rRNA from 1 species
GGACGAACGCUGGCGGCGUGCUUACCACAUGCAAGUCGAACGGUGAAGCUCCAGCUUGCUGGAGUGGAUCAGUGGCGAACGGGUGAGUAACACGUGAGCAACCUGCCCCUGACUCUGGAAUAAGCGCUGGAAACGGCGUCUAAUACUGGAUACGAGAAGGGUCCGCAUGGGCACUUUCUGGAAAGUUUUUCGGUUGGGGAUGGGCUCGCGGCCUAUCAGCUUGUUGGUGAGGUAAUGGCUCACCAAGGCGACGACGGGUAGCCGGCCUGAGAGGGCGACCGGCCACACUGGGACUGAGACACGGCCCAGACUCCUACGGGAGGCAGCAGUGGGGAAUAUUGCACAAUGGGCGAAAGCCUGAUGCAGCGACGCCGCGUGAGGGAUGACGGCCUUCGGGUUGUAAACCUCUUUCAGCAGGGAAGAAGCGAAAGUGACGGUACCUGCAGAAGAAGCACCGGCUAACUACGUG